UAAAAAACAAAGAACAGAAGAGUACCUUUAUUUUUUAUUGAAGAGAGUCUUUGGCUGGUGUAAAAAGACAAAAAGAUAAAGCGAACCACAUCUGGGAGUUAACUUUUUGAACAGAUUAGUAGGAAAGUUCGGGCAUGCCCGUUAUAGCAUUAGAAGUCUAUGACUUCAUGAGGUUAUCGUUGUGAAGCGAUAAUAAAAAAAGGUGGAACCACGAAUUUUACGUCCUUUGG
rnacentral:ncRNA from 1 species